rnacentral:rRNA from 1 species
ACGAGGAAGAGUCCUUCGGGGCUUGAGUAAAGUGGCGCACGGGUGAGUAACGCGUGGAUAAUCUGCCCUACAGUUGGGAAUAACCCACCGAAAGGUGUGCUAAUACCGAAUAAUGCUGAUUGGCUUUGGUUGAUCAGCCAAAGAGAGCCUCUUCUUGAAAGCCCUCGCUGUUGGAUGAGUCCGCGUACCAUUAGCUUGUUGGUAGGGUAAUGGCCUACCAAGGCUGUGAUGGUUAGCUGGUCUGAGAGGAUGAUCAGCCACACUGGAACUGAGACACGGUCCAGACUCCUACGGGAGGCAGCAGUGAGGAAUCUUGCGCAAUGGGGGAAACCCUGACGCAGCAACGCCGCGUGAGUGAGGAAGGUCUUCGGAUCGUAAAGCUCUGUCAGUUGGAAAGAAACGCCUGUAUGUUAAUACCAUGCAGGUUUGACGGUACCAACAGAGGAAGCACCGGCUAACUCCGUGCCAGCAGCCGCGGUAAUACGGGGGGUGCAAGCGUUGUUCGGAAUUAUUGGGCGUAAAGAGCGUGUAGGCGGCCUGAUGUGUCAGAUGUGAAAGCCCUGGGCUUAACCCAGGAAGUGCAUUUGAAACUGUCAGGCUUGAGUAGGGGAGGGGGAAGCGGAAUUCCUGGUGUAGAGGUGAAAUUCGUAGAUAUCACGAGGAACACCGGGUGGCGAACGCGGCUUCCUGGCCCUAUACUGACGCUGAGACGCGAGAGCGUGGGUAGCAA